GUGGGGCAACGGCCCACCAAGCCGACGAUGCGUAGGGGUUCUGAGAGGAAGGUCCCCCACAUUGGAACUGAGACACGGUCCAAACUCCUACGGGAGGCAGCAGUGAGGAAUAUUGGUCAAUGGCCGGAAGGCUGAACCAGCCAAGUCGCGUGAGGGAAUAAGGCCCUACGGGUCGUAAACCUCUUUUGUCAGGGAGCAAGGCCGCCCACGUGUGGACGGAAGGAGAGUACCUGGAGAAAAAGCAUCGGCUAACUCCGUGCCAGCAGCCGCGGUAAUACGGAGGAUGCGAGCGUUAUCCGGAUUUAUUGGGUUUAAAGGGUGCGUAGGCGGCCUGCCAAGUCAGCGGUAAAAUUGCGGGGCUCAACCCCGUACAGCCGUUGAAACUGCCGGGCUCGAGUGGGCGAGAAGUAUGCGGAAUGCGUGGUGUAGCGGUGAAAUGCAUAGAUAUCACGCAGAACCCCGAUUGCGAAGGCAGCAUACCGGCGCCCUACUGACGCUGAGGCACGAAAGUGCGGGGAUCAAACAGGAUUAGAUACCCUGGUAGUCCGCACAGU
rnacentral:rRNA from 1 species